UACGGGGGGGGCAAGCGUUGUUCGGAAUUACUGGGCGUAAAGGGUUUGUAGGUGGCUUGCUAAGUCAGACGUGAAAUCCCUCAGCUUAACUGGGGAACUGCGUCUGAGACUGGCAAGCUUGAGUGCAGGAGAGGAACGCGGAAUUCCAGGUGUAGCGGUGAAAUGCGUAGAUAUCUGGAGGAACACCGGUGGCGAAGGCGGCGUUCUGGAGCUGCAACUGACACUGAAAACGAAGCCAGGGAGCAACGG
rnacentral:rRNA from 1 species